CGGCGGACGGGUGAGUAACACGUGGACAAUCUGCCCCCCGGCCCGGGAUAGCCCAGGGAAACCUGGAUUAAUACCGGAUGAGACGGGACCCGCGAUGGCGGGAUCCGGGAAAGGCGCUGCGGCGCCGCCGGGGGGAUGAGUCUGCGUCCCAUUAGCUAGACGGCGGGGUAACGGCCCACCGUGGCGACGAUGGGUAGCCGGCCUGAGAGGGUGGACGGCCACAUUGGAACUGAGACACGGUCCAGACUCCUACGGGAGGCAGCAGGCUAAGAAUCUUCCGGCAAUGGGCGAAAGCCUGACGGAGCGAACCGCCGCGUGAACGAAGAAGGCCGUGAGGUUGUAAAGUUCUUUUCGGGAGGGGGAACAACCGUGGCAGGGAAUGGCCGCGGGAUGACGUGAAUCCCGGAAUAAGCCCCGGCUAACUACGUGCCAGCCGCCGC
rnacentral:rRNA from 1 species